AGAGUUUGAUCCUGGCUCAGGAUGAACGCUGGCGGCGUGCUUUAACACAUGCAAGUCGAGCGAAGCGCUUUACUUGGAUUUCUUCGGAAUGACGAGUAUUGUGACUGAGCGGCGGACGGGUGAGUAACGCGUGGGUAACCUGCCUCAUACAGGGGGAUAACAGUUAGAAAUGACUGCUAAUACCGCAUAAGACCACAGCACCGCAUGGUGCAGAGGUAAAAACUCCGGUGGUAUGAGAUGGACCCGCGUCUGAUUAGCUGGUUGGUGGGGUAACGGCCUACCAAGGCGACGAUCAGUAGCCGGCCUGAGAGGGCGACCGGCCACAUUGGGACUGAGACACGGCCCAAACUCCUACGGGAGGCAGCAGUGGGGAAUAUUGCACAAUGGGGGAAACCCUGAUGCAGCGACGCCGCGUGAAGGAAGAAGUAUUUCGGUAUGUAAACUUCUAUCAGCAGGGAAGAAAAUGACGGUACCUGACUAAGAAGCCCCGGCUAACUACGUGCCAGCAGCCGCGGUAAUACGUAGGGGGCAAGCGUUAUCCGGAUUUACUGGGUGUAAAGGGAGCGUAGACGGAGAGGCAAGUCUGAUGUGAAAACCCGGGGCUCAACCCCGGGACUGCAUUGGAAACUGUUUUUCUAGAGUGUCGGAGAGGUAAGCGGAAUUCCUAGUGUAGCGGUGAAAUGCGUAGAUAUUAGGAGGAACACCAGUGGCGAAGGCGGCUUACUGGACGAUGACUGACGUUGAGGCUCGAAAGCGUGGGGAGCAAACAGGAUUAGAUACCCUGGUAGUCCACGCCGUAAACGAUGACUAUU
rnacentral:rRNA from 1 species